rnacentral:rRNA from 1 species
GAUGAACGCUGGCGGCGUGCCUAAUACAUGCAAGUCGAGCGAACUGAUUAGAAGCUUGCUUCUAUGACGUUAGCGGCGGACGGGUGAGUAACACGUGGGCAACCUGCCUGUAAGACUGGGAUAACUUCGGGAAACCGAAGCUAAUACCGGAUAGGAUCUUCUCCUUCAUGGGAGAUGAUUGAAAGAUGGUUUCGGCUAUCACUUACAGAUGGGCCCGCGGUGCAUUAGCUAGUUGGCGAGGUAACGGCUCACCAAGGCAACGAUGCAUAGCCGACCUGAGAGGGUGAUCGGCCACACUGGGACUGAGACACGGCCCAGACUACUACGGGAGGCAGCAGUAGGGAAUCUUCCGCAAUGGACGAAAGUCUGACGGAGCAACGCCGCGUGAGUGAUGAAGGCUUUCGGGUCGUAAAACUCUGUUGUUAGGGAAGAACAAGUACAAGAGUAACUGCUUGUACCUUGACGGUACCUAACCAGAAAGCCACGGCUAACUACGUGCCAGCCGCCGCGGUAA